AAAUGAGAUCACCUGGAGAGAAGAAGUAGCCAAAGAACAGAUUGAAGAGCUAGUGAUUGGACCAAUAUAGUAGACUCAAAGGAAUUUGAAAGAAAGACUUCUAGCUAUUUUGACAUAUGCAAUAAAUUAUUGUUGGGUUAGGCUCAGUGGCUCACACCUGUAAUCUCAGCACUUUGGGAGGCUGAGGUGGGUGGAUCACUUGAGGUCAGGAGUUAGAGACCAGCCUGGCCAACAUGGUGAAAUCCCGUCUCUAAUAAAAAGACAAAACUUAGCUGGGCAUGGUGGCAUGCACCUGUAAUCCUAGCCACUCAGGAGGCUGAGGCAGGAGAAUCACUUGAACCCAGGAGGUGGAGGUUGCAGGGUGCCAAGAUUGCCUCAUUGUGCUUCAGCCUGGGUGACAGAGUGAGACUCCAUGUCAAAAAAAAAAAAAAGUUAACUACAGUUAUCCUGCUGUGCUAAGGGACACUAGAUUUUAUUUCUUCUAGCUAAUUGUAUUUUUGUAGGUACGAAACAACCCUUCUCUAUCUUCUCUUCCCAGUUAACCUUCCUGGCCUCUGGUAACCACCAUUCUAUUCACUACCUCCAUGAGAUCAAUUUUUUUAACUCCCACAUAUGAGUCAGAAUAUGCAAUGUUUGUCUUUCUGUGCCUGGCUCAUUUCACUUAACACGAUGUCCUCUGGUUCCAUCUGUGCUGUUGCAAAUGGCAGGAUUUUAUUCUUUUUUAUGGUGGAAUAAUAUGCCAUUGUAUAUAUUAUACUACAUUUUCUU
rnacentral:lncRNA from 1 species